rnacentral:lncRNA from 1 species
GUUGGUUUCUGUUUUUUCCAAACACAUUAAAACCCCUGAAGAAAGGGAAAAGUCCCUCACUAAAUCAAUGCCUAGAACAAAUGGAUCUAUACAUAUCAGGAAAUGAAGCCCUAUAUACCACACACACACAGUUUAUUUCUGGUGGUUCAAGAGGGGAUCUUUGAAGGUGUUUAAGCGCCCAGAGCUGCACAGAGAAGCCUAGAGAGAGGAGAUGGGCCGGAGAAGUGACUCAGAUCUGAGCUGGUCUGAGUCACCCCUGAAAGAUGCUGACC